rnacentral:misc_RNA from 1 species
UAGGGAUUGCAGCGGAAAACCCACAGCCUCGCGUAGGCCUAUGUGUGCGGGCAAGGCGAGGAUUUGUAGCGUAAAGCCCGGGCCGCA